rnacentral:rRNA from 1 species
GAUGAACGCUGGCGGCGUGCCUAAUACAUGCAAGUCGAGCGAACGGACGAGAAGCUUGCUUCUCUGAUGUUAGCGGCGGACGGGUGAGUAACACGUGGAUAACCUACCUAUAAGACUGGGAUAACUUCGGGAAACCGGAGCUAAUACCGGAUGAUAUUUUGAACCGCAUGGUUCAAAAGUGAAAGACGGUCUUGCUGUCACUUAUAGAUGGAUCCGCGCUGCAUUAGCUAGUUGGUAAGGUAACGGCUUACCAAGGCAACGAUGCAUAGCCGACCUGAGGGGGGGAUCGGCACAACUGGAACUGGGACACGGCCCAGACCCCUAAGGGAGGCAGCAGUGGGGAAUCUUCCGAAAUGGGCGAAAGCCUGACGGAGCAACGCCGCGGGAGUGAUGAAGGUCUUCGGAUCGUAAAACUCUGUUAUUAGGGAAGAAAAUAUGUGUAAGUAACGGUGCACAUCUGGGCGGUACCUAAACAGAAAGCCACGGCAAACUACGU